rnacentral:rRNA from 1 species
CCUACGGGAGGCAGCAGUGAGGAAUAUUGGUCAAUGGGCGGAAGCCUGAACCAGCCAAGUAGCGUGCAUGAUGACGGCCCUACGGGUUGUAAACUGCUUUUAUACGGGAAUAACGCGCCUUACGUGUAGGCCUUUGCAUGCACCGUAUGAAUAAGGACCGGCUAAUUCCGUGCCAGCAGCAGCGGUAAUACGGAAGGUCCGGGCGUUUUCCGGAUUUAUUGGGUUUAAAGGGAGCUUAGGCCGCAUGGCAAGCGUGCCGUGAAAUGUCCGGGCUCAACCCGGGGCUUGCAGCGCGAACUGGCGUGCUGGAGUGCGCGGAAGGCAGGCGGAAUUCGUCGUGUAGCGGUGAAAUGCUUAGAUAUGACGAAGAACCCCGAUUGCGAAGGCAGCUUGCUGCAGCGGAACUGACGCUGAUGCUCGAAAGCGCGGGUAUCGAACAGGAUUAGAUACCCCAGUAGUC